UUCAAAAAAAUGAAUUAGCCAAUCACAGCCAGUCUUUCGUCCGAAUUCUUUAGUUUCAUGGCGUCAUUCGUGGAGAACACAUCAGAGUGUCAUCGUCCCGUUAAGAUCAGGUGGAAAGAAGAUCUACUGCGCAUCAUUUUCGCGCAUGCAGUAUUUUCGCGCCAGUCUUAUGCGCCUGUUUUAUGCACUUCAAUAUGGCGAAUCUUUCGAAUUUUUUAAUCUGUUAUCUGUAUACGUGUUGCAGCGGAUUUUGUUAUCCCGUUAAUUUCAGCUUUCUAAGCAUGGGAAGAGUUAUAACACGAAUUCACUAAUAUUUUAACCUUGUGGCAACUUUUUUUAUCUUCUCCAUAUACGGCGAGGAAUUUCUCGAGGAAUUUUCUUCGUCGAAUUUCCGACGACAAAACGUAA
rnacentral:lncRNA from 1 species